rnacentral:lncRNA from 1 species
AAACAUGUAAAUUUUAAUCCUUAAUUAUUUUUCUUCAAUUUUUGAUAAUUUUCCAAAGUCAAAACAGGGGAACUCGAAUUCAUUCUAACAUUGUCUCACAAAGUUUGUUAUAUCUCACGAUUUACAAUUCCAUUACUAACACUGUUUCUUCUAUGAGAAACUAGACUCAACAAGCUUUAAUUCACCUCACGAUUAAUCAAAAUCC